GGCAAAGCCCAGGUGUCAGGGACCCACGUGGACAGUGGCUACCUGCGGGCUCAGGCUUUGGGGCCAGGCUUUUCCCCGAAGGGCCUGGCCCGGAGGAGGAUUUCAGGAAAUGUGCAAUCUGGAAAUGAAUGACUGAGAAUCAAAAGUCCACAUGGUACAGAUACACAGCUGCCUUCCUCAACUCCACUGCACAAGAAUCAAGGGUAAAAACCCGACCUGUGCCUCGUCUUGUCUAUACAAUUAUAACAUAGACUUUGAUUUCUCCUGUAUGUCACAUUAAUCA